UUGUUUUAGGGGGACAUCAUCAGUGGUGCUUGCAGGGCUUAUUUCUGCACUAAAAUUAGUUGGCGAAUCUUUGGCAGAACACAAUUUUUAUUCAUUGGAGCUGGAGAGAGGCAUUGCUGAACUCACAGCUCUUGGAAGGCCCACUUUUUGGUAAAUCUGAUCACAGGUGCUAUUAUGGUCCUAUGGCGUUUACUUGCUGGUAUAGUGGCCAGGGAAUGAUUACUCUGAUCGAAGGAGAUUCGCGACAAAGCCAUAACAUUAAGUGUGGGGAACUCUUCUAUGUAUCUGUGUGAAUCACCGCGUAUCUAAUCAACAUCGACAACAACGGACGCCUUGUUUUGGCGAAGAUUCUACAUUCGGUCUCCGUCCCCGGUGAAUUGCAGCUCUUUAGCAUAGGAGGUGGUAACGCAGAGUCAUCAUUCUACAACACGUUCAGUAUCGAAGUUCUUGAAGUUGCAUUUGGUGUUGAUCGCGAAUCGGCCCAUAAAAUGGUUGGGCAGCAUUCUGCUGAGGAGCAAAUUAGAUCGUUGUCCGGAGAAGAUAAAAGUAGCCGUUGGCCUUUUGGCGACCGAAAAGGAAAGGGAAGGGGCACACAUAUCUACAAGAACGAACCAUCUGUGUGGAAUAUACCUCAUUGUUGGGCGACUGGUUACUUUUAGAUAUGAAAAUUAUUGGUUUUUGCACUUCUUUUAGAAAUAGAACAAUAAGGUAAUCUAUGUUACGGGUAUUGUAAAUGGUAAGAGUUACUGAUAUGUUUAUUAUCGACUCCGCGGCAACGCGCGGGUUUCCCACUAGUAUUUAUAAAAAGACAAAAUAGUGUAAUUUUACUA